AAUAAACAGUACCACAUGAAAAUACUGCUCAAUAGCUUUCAUUUGAAUGGUCUCAUCCCAUACACUUAAACGACAGAACAACCCUGUACAACAUAAUAAACUGUACAAUAGUGAAGUGCCGCUCAAUAGUUUUGUUUGAAUGGUCACACACUAGGGUUUCAUCCUUAAACUUAAGAACAACCUUUUACAGCACAGUAAACUGUACCACAUGAAAAUAGUUUUCAAUAGUUUUGUUUGAAUGGUCACACAGUAACCUGCGAGCAGGCUCACCUUUGAGUCGGUUCACCUUUGAGUCUCACGCGCGAGCGACGAGAAACGAAGCGAUCCGGCGGACGCCGCUCGCGCUUAUGCUCCUAGGUCACACAGUAGGGAUUGAUCCACAGACAACAGCACAAGUCAGCACAGCAUUAAUAGACUGCAAUUUAAUCGAACCUGUGGUUGAAUGGUUUCUUUUUUUCUUACAGAUUGGAUGACGCGAGGGUUGGUCAUACGCGUUCUACAACGGGACAGUCUUUGAAGCUUGCAAACACGGCUGGCAUGCAGUCAGUCAUGUCACCGCUAAAGACCUCCAAGGUUUCCACUCUACCACGAAGGACAACAAGGACAUCAUCGCACAUGUUGCGGAGUCGUAUGACGUCAUCCCGUGUUAGCAGCAGAGCCCUCAACCUUGCAGCUCUGGCGAAGACAUAACUAAGUUAUGACUACACAGUAGAAUAAUGUGUUCCAAUACCACUGAAAACCGCUGGUUCGGUAAGUCGUCGGAGUACCGGGCCCGGCUGUUCAAAGCAGGUUGAAACUAGUCCAGGAUUAACUUUGAAUCCAGUUUUGAAAGUUAUUAGCGAUCAUUUCUUUUAGUUGCUGCCGUCUGAAAAUGUUUUAACCUUUGCACAGAGGCAACCUGUAACUUGAAGUUUAGUAGGAAAAAACCUUUAGUUGAUGAAUUUUUAUCCUGAACUAGCGUCAACCUGCUUUCCAGCAGCCGAGCCAGUCUGGCUGUAUCCUGCAAAAGUACUAUAUUUUUGGUUCACCUGUUAUAGACGAAAAAUAUAGUUUCUUUUUGCGGGUUACUCUGACUGAGUCUAGCAAGUGUGAAAGCUUUAGCGCAAUGUUGGGCGUAAAGAUUAGUCUUAAAGACAUGGAAACACUAGUUGGUCAGCGAAGACUGCAGAUAGCAUGGAAUAUAGUAUGGUUAGUGUAGGGCUCGAUAAAAGGCUGAAAAGUGGUCUGGCAAUUUUACGAUUGGAUGUGUUUGUUGCUUAUUCGUAAAGUUCAUUGUAGUAUUUGUAUGACGGAGCUGUGCCACGUUUCAAAAGAAGCCAGUUUUAGUGAUGUACAAAAUUAUCUUGUACAUGUGCAGCAAAAAUCGUGGUUUGCGAGGUUUAAAGAUUAAUGAAGGAUUUUGAAAGGUUUUGGACGCACGGAGAAGAUUCAAAGAUGUAUUCAAAGUACACGAUUAAUGUGUAUGUUACUAUGAAUCUUCAUGGAGGUUUUUUGAAUGCUAAAGUGGCGCUUUGUACAGUGUACAAUCUCCUAAUUCACAGAUUCUAUUUUAUCAUAAUAGUACGUUGAUAGUAAGUUAUUGUUUUUAUGAGAAGUCAAAUGAUCAGCAAAAUUUGCUCAAAAAGCAAUUAUCUUAUCAACUUUCGGCAAGAUCGAAAGGUUAUAACUUUAUUGAACAAAUGGUACUAUGUCCAUACAUGUAUAAAAUAAGUGUGAUUCCUCCAAUACGUAUUUGUUAUGGUGAAUGUGGCCGUAUGUGGUCUGGGUACCAUACACGCGUCCGCCGUAUCAGGUUAAAUAGUUACUGGGGAGUGUAAGAAAACCACGACGCCAGCGGCAAGGGAACGUCGCUAAACAGAAGGCUUAAUGCUCAAGUAGAACAAUGGCUGU